rnacentral:lncRNA from 10 species
GCCUCCACCGCCUUCUUCCAGGAGGAGGGGCCGUGCGGCGCCUGCCCGGGGGCCCUCAGGCCGCAGGCGGGCGCGAGCUUCAGGGAACUUAGGGGGCUCCCGCCUCCCCGGCCACGCGAGCGGGAACAGUCUCCUCCACUCGGAGCGGCGCCAUCUUCAGCUCUGAGUCACCAGGGCUGGAAAAAUACUAGAUGCGCUACUCGUGGACUCGUGAAUACACUCGUGAAUACAGGCCAUUUCCUGUACCUACAGCCACCCGCUCCACUCAUCAUGCCUUACCUGGAUGAUGCAGAAGUCCCUGGAAACAGAAGGUCUCACCCUUCUUUAUCUUUCUCAUGGCUUUCCAAGGCUCUUUAUCAUGUUACUUUCCUGCUCAGAAUUCUUUAAUGACUUGCCUCAAUGACCAGAUACAUGUGAUCUACAGUCAGCCUUCCAGCCUCAUCAUUCCUCUUCCAUUUCCUCCCCAGAAACACUGUACUUUAUGAAGCUCCUCCAAGACUGCUCUCUCAGCAGCUGGGACCCGGUCUUGGAAUCUUAGUGUCAACUAUGAUGAAUCACCAACACUAACAAAAACAUUAUCUUUUAUUGGGUUAAAUAGUUUCUACUCUUCCCAAGACUGGGAACUGAUGUAACAGGCUUCGUGCUUUCUUCCCAACAAAUUGAUUCUGUGUGGUCAGCUCCUGUCAUGAUGAUAGAACCCCCUGUAUUGAUUUAUACUUAGGGGUAUAUCAAUGUCAGUCUAAACUUGUCCUACCUA